GAGCCAGCCAGGUGUCACUGGUGAAACAGAGAGAAGGCCCAGUGUCUACCCUGCUCUCCUCACCCAGACAAAUGGGCUGCCUCCUGGAAGGAACAACAGAUCUGUCUCCUGCUGAGCGCCACACACAAACCCAUUUUCAUCCAGAAUCCCUGAGGUCAGGCUGUUUGUGAAGAGCAGAGAGCUGUCCUCCACCAGUUCUGAAGACUGGAAGACCGAGCACAAACAAGCAGCAGGUCUUAUGUGUGCAAGGUUGCUGCUCUCGGCUUCCAGGAUGAGCCUCAGGCUGCUCAGGAUGACUACUUUAAAAACUGUGAUCAACAACAGUAAACAGCAGCCAACCAACGACCUCCACUGCCUCUCGGGGCCCUAGCAUUUAUACGCUCUCUGAAAAGUCCCCAGAAUUCCAGACAUCACACAAGUGCAGGAACUAUCUGCAGCUGACAAAAUUGUGCCUCCCCCAGAGGCAAAUCAUAGUCAGUUGUUGUGAAGCAUCCCCAGGUCCCCACACCUAGGAUUAAAAUGAAAACAUAUUCUUAUAAUAGUUCUGUGUUUUGUUUAAAGAAAUCAAAAUUUCAAAAUUCUCAUUACAGCCCUGCUCUGUUCCCCUGGAGCACAGAGGACCAGGGUAGCACACAUUGAAUUUGGUUCUCGGCCACAAGACAGAAUGGCCAGACUGUUUAUAUACCCACUGGACAGCAGUGCCCCAAGGUGCUCGCCUCUGGACCCCAGCAACCCCCUCUUCAUCUCUUGGCAGCCUCUAAGCUGCAUUCU